rnacentral:rRNA from 1 species
UACGGAGGGUGCAAGCGUUAUCCGGAUUCACUGGGUUUAAAGGGUGCGUAGGUGGGCAGGUAAGUCAGUGGUGAAAUCCUUGAGCUUAACUCGAGAACUGCCGUUGAUACUAUCUGUCUUGAAUGUUGUGGAGGUGAGCGGAAUAUGUCAUGUAGCGGUGAAAUGCUUAGAUAUGACAUAGAACAUCUAUUGCGAAGGCAGCUAACUACGCAAAUAUUGACGCUGAGGCACGAAAGCGUGGGGAUCAAACAGG